GUCUGUUUCUCUCUCCAUUUCAGUUUUUCUGUGGUGCGUCUUGAGUCUACAGUGCAUCCCUUUAAUGCCUUGCUGCUGCGGUAACAUGUCCGACCUGGAUCAUUCCCUCCAGAAACACUUCCUUUGAUGCUCGUUCGCUCUCAAGACAGUUCUGCUCAACGUCCCGGCAAACACACAGAAAGACCUGUUGAACUUGGGAAAACUGUAACACCUACCUGAAGCAUUCCUGUAUCACCCAGUCUUACGUUUACAAGUGGAUCAUCGGAAGUCUCACGUCCUGAGGCGUGACUGAAACUUGAGGAGUCAAAAUGGCUAACAACACGGCAGACCAUCCGCCGGGGAACUCGGUCGCCGAGGUCGACUACGAAGGGGACUUUGGCUGCACGAUGAUGCAGCUCCGUGAGCUGAUGGAGCUCCGCAGUGGCGAGGCGGUCAACAAGAUUGCAGAAUCCUAUGGAGACGUGCAAGGGAUCUGCCGCAGGCUCAAGACCUCAACUAUCGAGGGACUCUCUGGUAACCCUGCUGAUUUGGAAAAGCGCCAUGCGGUGUUUGGUAAAAAUUUCAUCCCCCCCAAGAAGCCCAAGACCUUUCUGCAGUUGGUAUGGGAGGCCCUGCAGGACGUCACCCUCAUUAUUCUGGAGGUGGCAGCCAUUAUUUCUCUCGGGCUGUCCUUCUACCACCCACAGGGGGAAGGCAGCGACAGCUGUGGCCAAGCAUCCGGGGGUAUUGAGGAUGAGGGGGAGGCCCAGGCAGGCUGGAUCGAAGGUGCUGCCAUCUUGUUCUCAGUCAUUAUCGUGGUGCUGGUGACCGCCUUCAACGAUUGGAGUAAAGAAAAGCAGUUCCGUGGGCUGCAGAGCCGCAUCGAGCAGGAACAGAAGUUCACCGUCAUCCGCAAGGGCCAGGUUAUCCAGAUCCCAGUGGCUGAAAUCGUUGUGGGAGAUAUUGCACAAAUCAAAUACGGUGACCUUCUCCCAGCUGAUGGUAUCUUGAUCCAGGGUAACGACCUGAAGAUUGAUGAAAGCUCUCUGACUGGGGAGUCCGAUCAUGUCCGCAAAUCUCUGGAGAAGGACCCCAUGCUCCUUUCUGGAACUCAUGUGAUGGAGGGAUCUGGCCGAAUGGUGGUCUCUGCCGUGGGCCUGAAUUCUCAGACUGGAAUAAUUUUCACCCUCUUGGGCGCCGGCAGUGAGGAUGAGGAGAAGAAGGUGAAGAAAGGUAAAAAACAAGGACCCCCUGAAAAUCGCAACAAAGCUAAGACCCAGGAUGGCAUUGCUCUGGAGAUCCAACCGCUGAAGAGCGAGGAAGGUGUGGAGUCAGAGGAGAAGGAGGAGAAAGAAGAAAAGGAGAAAAAGAAGGUCAACGUCACCAAGAAAGAAAAGUCGGUCCUGCAGGGCAAGCUGACCAGGCUAGCUGUUCAGAUUGGAAAAGCAGGUCUCAUCAUGUCUGCGGUGACCGUCAUCAUCCUUAUCCUGUUCUUUGUCAUUGAUACGUUCGGUGUCCAGGGCCGUGAGUGGACGGCAGAGUGCACUCCAAUCUACAUUCAAUACUUUGUGAAGUUUUUCAUUAUUGGUGUGACCGUGCUUGUGGUAGCCGUGCCUGAGGGGCUGCCUCUAGCUGUCACUAUCUCUCUGGCUUUUUCAGUCAAGAAAAUGAUGAAAGACAACAAUCUGGUGAGGCACCUGGAUGCCUGUGAGACCAUGGGUAAUGCCACAGCCAUCUGCUCUGACAAAACUGGAACGCUGACUAUGAAUCGCAUGACGGUGGUGCAGGCUUACAUAGGUGACACACACUAUAAAAGCAUUCCUGAACCAGAGGCCAUUAAUUCCGAGACUCUGGAGCUACUGGUGAACAGCAUCUCCAUAAACUCAGCCUACACUACCAAGAUCCUGCCUUCAGAGAAGGAGGGAGGUCUGCCAAGGCAUGUGGGUAAUAAGACAGAGUGUGCCCUUCUUGGUAUGGUGUUGGACCUGAAGAGAGACUAUCAGCCUAUUAGAGAUGAAGUUCCUGAGGAAAAACUUUAUAAGGUGUACACGUUCAACUCCUCCCGAAAGAGCAUGAGUACCGUACUAAAGAACACCAGUGGUCCUGGCUUCCGAAUGUACAGCAAGGGUGCCUCUGAGAUUGUCCUGCGCAAGUGUUCCCAUAUCCUUGAUGCUUCAGGCCAGCCACGUGUCUUCAAGGCCAAAGAUCGGGAUGAGAUGGUGCGGAAAGUGAUCGAGCCAAUGGCCUGUGACGGGUUAAGGACCAUUUGCGUAGCCAUGAGGAACUUCACAACAGAGCCAGACUGGGACAACGAGGCUGACAUUCUGAAUGACCUGACCUGCAUCUGUGUUGUGGGCAUUGAAGACCCUGUUCGUCCUGAGGUUCCUGACGCUAUCUCUAAAUGUCAGCGAUCAGGCAUCACUGUCCGUAUGGUCACCGGAGACAACAUCAACACAGCCCGUGCCAUUGCCACCAAAUGUGGAAUCCUGCAGCCUGGAGAGGACUUUCUCUGCAUGGACGGCAAAGACUUCAACCAGCAGAUUCGUAAUGACAAAGGAGAGGUUGAACAAGAGCGUCUUGACAAGGUCUGGCCCAAAUUGCGUGUUCUGGCUCGUUCCUCCCCAACAGACAAACACACUCUGGUUAAAGGCAUCAUUGAUAGCACAGUUGGAGAAACAAGACAGGUGGUGGCUGUGACUGGAGAUGGCACUAAUGACGGUCCUGCCCUUAAAAAAGCAGAUGUUGGCUUUGCUAUGGGUAUUGCAGGUACAGAUGUUGCAAAGGAGGCCUCUGACAUCAUUCUUACCGAUGACAACUUCACCAGUAUUGUCAAAGCUGUGAUGUGGGGGCGUAAUGUCUACGACAGUAUCUCCAAGUUUCUGCAGUUUCAGUUGACUGUCAAUGUGGUGGCUGUGAUUGUUGCUUUCACUGGAGCCUGCAUCACACAGGACUCUCCACUUAAAGCUGUUCAGAUGUUGUGGGUAAAUCUGAUUAUGGACACACUGGCUUCUUUGGCUCUGGCAACGGAACCCCCAACAGAAGCGCUCCUGCUGAGAAAACCUUACGGACGAAACAAGCCACUCAUUUCCAGGACUAUGAUGAAGAACAUCUUGGGUCAUGCUGUUUACCAACUUAUCAUCACAUUUACUCUUCUCUUUGCUGGUGAGAAGUUCUUCAACAUUGAUAGUGGCCGCAAUGCUCCUCUGCACUCCCCGCCAUCUGAACACUACACCAUAAUCUUCAACGUCUUCGUAAUGAUGCAGCUUUUCAAUGAGAUUAAUGCCCGCAAGAUCCACGGAGAAAGGAACGUGUUUGAGGGAAUUUACAGGAACCCCAUUUUCUGCUGCGUUGUUCUGGGAACCUUUGCUCUGCAGAUAAUCAUAGUGCAGUUUGGAGGGAAGCCGUUCUCUUGCACGGCCCUCACCAUCGAUCAGUGGCUCUGGUGUAUCUUCAUAGGAGUCGGUGAGCUGCUCUGGGGCCAGUUCAUCUCUGCCGUCCCCACACACCGCCUCAAGUUCCUGAAAGAGGCUGGCCACGGCAUCCCCAAAGAGGACAUCGCCGAUGAGGUGCUAACCGAAGGUGCGGAUGAAAUUGACCAUGCUGAGAUGGAGAUGCGCAAGGGACAGAUCCUAUGGUUCAGAGGUCUCAACCGCAUCCAAACUCAGAUUAAGGUGGUGAACGCAUUCCGUAGCUCCCUAUACGAGGGCCUAGAGAAGCCAGAAUCAAGAAGCUCCAUUCAUAACUUCAUGUCCCACCCUGAGUUUGUACCCCUCUCCGAGGAGGAAUCCCGCGUCCCCACGAUAGACGAGGGCUGUGUAGAGAUUGAGCACCUCCCCUCCUCUUCCAGAAACGGAGGUGGCGGCGAACCCCCGGGUCGCUCUCUUCACAGCCAUGAAUUCUCCGUGUGAACCUCACAUCGUUCUCCUGCCCCGAAAUCAUCGUUUUUUUUGUUGUUUUGUUUUGUUUGUUCUGUUUUUAAAACCUGUGCACCACUCCUCCGGUGGAGCUCUGCUGAUACACAUCUGAGAGACAGCAGCACCUACAGCGGCCGAUGGGGCGACUACGAUCCCUUUCUCUUCUCCUCCUUCCUCCCCACCCCUCUGCCCCUCUCGACUUGCACUGUGUCGGCAGCAGCAGCAGCGCUCUGUAAGUACAUGCGGCUGUGCUGCAGCCCGUGUGACGCAUGGCCUAACUUACACACUAGAGGGCGAUGCUGCGGCAAACGCCCUCUCUCAGCCUGUCACUGGCAUUUUUAUCUCUUCUACAGUUGUGAUUUUUCUCAUUUUUAUAUUGUCACGUCUCUGGUCUUGUGUAAUGCUGUAAUAAUUUUUGUUAUCUGUCCCAGGACUCUCAGUCACAUAGUUCUUUUUUUGUUUUUUUUGGUGGUACAGCCGAUUAUAUUCAUGCACUCAGUUGCUAUUUGAAUAGAUUUCUCUCUCUUUCUACUCUCCCUUAAUUUGCUCUGUUUUAAGGUGGUUUGAAAAUGUUGUUUUAGUUUUUAAAAUGAUUUUAUGCUCUAAUGGACGUUUUAAGUGGUUCAGACACUACAUUCAUGUCAUGUGUUCAGACGUUGUCACAUACCAUGCUGUUAGGCUCAUUUUGGGUGUUCUGUCACUUUAUAUGUACAGAUGUAAGGCUGCUAUAGUGAACGUUAGCAGAAUAAAAGACUAUAAUAAACUAAACUUAUUGGAUAGCUGAGUUAAGAAUACCUGAUUGGCUCUUAAGGGGGCAGGGAGGGUCAUCCUACACAUCAUCUCAUCAAAAUCACACCCAAUGGGCAUCUCUAGUCUCUUGUUAAUGCUCAAUUGCCUCAAAACGAAUGCCCAGCUAAUUGACCAAGUAUUUUAUCGAAGGUACAGCACCUCAUCAUAGUGUGCAUGUAUCUGUCUUUAGGUUGAUCUGUGUCUGAUUGUAUGGGAAUGGGAAUUGUAUUACUAACCUUUAUGGGAUAUAACAACUAAUGAAUAGGAUUUUCUUUUUUCUUGUUUCUUCUUUAGAAAAAAAAUGCGAUAGAGGUGGUUCUAUAUGUGUGUACUUUCAAAUCCAGUCUUUUUCUCACCUCAGCUCUGCAGUUAGGUGUUCUCCUUGUUAUCUAACAUCAGGCUGUGCUCCACAUAAGCUCCAAGUUACUCCGACGGCACUGGUAGAGCUCCAAAAUCCCAUCCCUGAACUUAGCCUGUGAGGGUAAGGAUACUGCACGUAGUAAGCAUGCUUUUGCUAUUUAAAAAAAGAAAAAGAAAGAAAAAAACACUUUAACACCCAAUAACAUGCAGCAAGGGUCUCUGUUGGAUCCUGUGAGCUCUGUUGAAACCUGGAUGACAAACUAGAUUGGACUGUUUUCAUAAGAGUGCGGCCUCAACGACAUGUGCUUUUUAUUAGCCGAAACAUACUACUGCCAUAGACCGACCUUCCGCUCAUACCAAUCUAGGUUCGAUGGAUUCCUCAAAUUACACCUUUUUUCUACUUGCUCCGAGCCAUAUUUUAUAGAUUGUUUUUUAUAUCCCAUUGUUUUUGCAGUUUAUUUUGUAUUUCCAACCAAAUUAGAAAAACACACAGAGAGUCACUGCCUAAAGACAAAAGGAAAAAAAAACCCUAGAUGGACCACUUUAAUGUUUACGGAAAGGUUCCACAGCAGUCGGCUGAUGCUGCACUUCCCCCUACUGGCAGUUUUUGUUAUUUCGCUUAAGUGGAACAUGGUAUGUUAUUGUGGGGAAGGAAGCAUGCAUGAAUUUCAUAUAAAACUCAAUGUUUUUUUCCUUUUUUUACAAUUGUUCUGUAUUUUUAUAUUAAGCACUUUUUAAUAUUUUGGGAAAAUAUAUAAAUAUAGGUGUAUAGGCCAGAGAGUUUGGUGACAUGACAACUUAGCAAAAUAAGCAGUUGAGUACAUAUUUCAGUUAUAUAUAUAUAUAAAUAUUUAUGCCAAGUUUGUAACCACAUGCGGUUUCAGAUUUAAUGUCCGAGCUGAGAAAGUUAAGUGUUUACUGUAAAGUCAAGGGGUCUGGUCGAGUUGUCAACAGAAGAGUGAGCAUUUAAUGGCCUUAUCCCGAAUAGCGUACUCCAAACCUGCAGCCCCAGAUAGAUGUGUGUAAAAUAUUAUGAUUUGCCACCUAAUUAGAAUCUGUUGGACUACAGUGGGAAAUGUUAAUUAAAGGUUUUGAGGUUUUCGAGCUCAACUUCUAUGUUCUUUUAGACUGAUAAAGCAUAAUUUAUUUUCUGUGAGACUUCUGUAUCACCCAUUAACAUGGCAAAGUGUCGGCUAUGGAAAAUAGAGAUUAUUACAGUAUGUAUUCUCUGUGUUGUCAUCAUUUAACUUUGAUUUGUCUUUGUGAAAACAUUUUUGUCAUACUCAGCUCUGGAUAUAAAUGAAGCAUACAUACUGUAUGUUACACGAAAGUACAAAUGUAUUUGACUUGAUGUGGAAGCAGUCGAACGGUUUCCAGUUAGAGCUUUAUAUAAAUUCUGCCAAAGUGUUGCUUUGUACAGACUUAUGUCUUUGUUCUUGUUCAUUUGGAAUAACUUAUAACUGGAUUUCAUCCAUAUUUGGAUAUUUCUUUCCCAUGAGGAUCUAAAAUAUGCUCCACUCGCUUCUAUUUUUUUCAUUACUUGAUCAGAAUGGAUGCAGAAAAAGGGGGAGACGAUCAAAGCCAUUGUCUUUCAUUUUCUUUCCUAGUUCCCUUUAAUAGCUCUUUAGAACAAUUUCUGUUACUGCACAUGUUUUUCUCUCUCGCAUUGUGUAAACUGAGAAUCGCUUCAAGGUGUUGUGCAAUAACUUUGAAUUUUAACGCAUUACUACUCUACUGAAGUUGUCUGACAAUUCUUGUUUGCUUGGUUGGGGACGGGAGGAAAUGAUACACCACAGCUGUAAAUAAAAGAUUGUUUUAAAACUGGAAUAUAACAUUAAGUUAUAACCACUUAUUUUGCAUAUGUUUAGUCCAUUUACAUCUGACGUUGAGUGAAAUGAAAAUUGUAUUUGGCUGCAGGGAAAGUAGUCAAUAGAACAUCUGUUUUCUGUAAUUCAUAUGAAACACAGUAAUAUAUACUGGUGUUAUUUUUGUAUAAACAUAAUAUCAUCGAUGUGGCAUGCAUUACUUAUAAACAAAUUGGUGGUUCAAAGCAAUAUGUACAACCUGGUGCGAUUGGUAUUUUUAGUGUCCUGUGUAGCUUAAACCACGCUGUAUACUUGCGGGGGGGGGGCUGCAUUGGAAAAAAAAAUCGUAAUUGUUCAAUAUAUGUGUUCAAUGUUCUGCAUGAUUACAUAUGGAAUGAGGCGUCCCCAAAUGUUUACUUGUUUCCAGAAUGAAUGUGAUAAGCACGCACACACUCACACAUCAGUAGACUCUGCGAAGAAAACACACACUGACUCGAUGCUGUUUCAGGGAAGAACGUGUUGUCUAGGCAUCACGAGAGAGCACUACUCUAUUAAAUUUCCUAAUUACUGGGGCGUAGGAAUUGGGGAAUGACUGCCAGAGUAUGUGCUUGAACAAUCUCUGGUCUUUUUACCAGUUACGCUUCGCUCUGGCUUUGUUUUGUUACUUUUAUAGCCAUAAGCAGUGGCUGUCGAUUGAACUGCUUAAUUGCAGAGUGGUACGAGCUUUGAUGUUCCAUCACCUUAUUGUGUGGGUUACCGACUCCAUCCAGACAGCUCCCUCUCAUCCAUGCAUGACCCAUCAAAGAUGAAAGACUCUAGCGCAGUAAAGCUGAAGAACUUGCGUUUUCAAGGAUCACAGAAGUGCCAAUGGACCACAUGGACAACCUGCACCACUGUGUCUGAUUGAUUUAGUCCUGAGUAAUUGAUUGAAAAUGAGAAAACUGUGUCUUUGAUCAUGGGUUUUGGGAAAGUGUGGAGGCCUUAAUCGAUUCCAACUGAAAGUGAAUGUUUUGCAUUUAUUUUGCAUAAUUGAAUUGAAAAUGUCGACUGGUGAAUCUAAAAAGCCCAAAUGUGUCCCAGUGUCAUGUUUGUGUUUACAGUCUCUAUAAGAUGCCAGAGAAUAUGUGCUCACCUAAUGUAAUGUAGUUUUAAGGGCUAUAAGGUGACAGUAGGGGGAUACACUGUUACCGAAUCGGUGUCUAAUGAUGAGAAGUUGACUCAAAAUGUUCUUGUCGGAAAGUAGUGUGCACUUACUUGGUUUGUUUUCCAUUGUCAAAGUGUGAGUUGAGCUCAUUUUGAAUCAUGCUAAAUUCAUGUAAAGUUGACCCAGCUGUGUCAAUCUUAAUGCUGCAUGAAUGGAAAAAAUCACCAUAAGCAGCUGAAUUACCAUUUAAUUAAUUGUCAAUGCGCAUUUGGAAUAAAUAGUCGAGUAUGUGUUUUGGAUUCAGACAACAAAGUGUGUGUGCUAGAGGAGAUCUUGAUUCUUGAUCUGACAGUCACGAACGGUGUCUUCAGUCAGUGUGUGUUUUAAUUGGUGAAAAAAAACAUCCAGAUUUUCUUGAGCCCUUCUUUCAUUUAGCUUUUGUGAGAAUCAUUAUCAUGCUUAAAUGUCAGUCCUGCUUGCUUCGAGCUAUGCAACAGAUUCAUUGGAUUAAAAUAUGGUGAAUUAUUUAUUCUCUUAGCUGUCAUAACACUCUCUCGCUCUCUCUUUUCCUUUCUCUGUUUCUCUCUCUGUACGCUUGCUUUCUUUUGUCGAAGUGAAUUCAGU